rnacentral:lncRNA from 1 species
UCCUCAUUUGACACCCGCAUUAGUCAGAUCUCUCUCUAAGAUAAGUCGGAUGUUAAUUCUCUUUCUUCAUUGCUUUAUUAUUUUUCAUCAUUUUUCUUCUUUAAAAAUUUUUGCCUUUGUCAUAUCAACAAUAAUGAAAUUUAACCCACAAAGGCUAGCCGAAUCGAAGAAGAGGAAGCAGGAUCUACCUGACCAAUCUA